rnacentral:rRNA from 1 species
AACGAACGCUGGCGGCGUGGAUAAGACAUGCAAGUCGAGCGAAGUAUGAGGGGUAGCAAUAUUCCUUAUACUUAGCGGCGAAAGGGUGCGUAACACGUAGAUCAUCUGCCUCCAAGUGUGGGAUAGCCCGGCGAAAGCCGGAUUAAUACCGCAUGUGGUCGUGAGAUUAAAGCCGGGGACCGUAAGGCCUGGCGCUUGGAGAUGAGUCUGCGGCCUAUCAGCUUGUUGGCGGGGUAACGGCCCACCAAGGCUAAGACGGGUAGCUGGUCUGAGAGGACGACCAGCCACACUGGAACUGAGACACGGUCCAGACACCUACGGGUGGCAGCAGUCGAGGAUUUUUCUCAAUGGGCGAAAGCCUGAAGGAGCGACGCCGCGUGGGGGAUGAAGGUCUUCGGAUUGUAAACCCCUGUCACUUGGGAACAAAUUGGAUCACCCAACACGUGAUCCAUUGAUAGUACCAGGAGAGGAAGCAGUGGCUAACUCU